rnacentral:rRNA from 1 species
AGCUCCAAUAGCGUAUAUUUAAGUUGUUGCAGUUAAAAGCUCGUAGUUGGAUUUUGGGUCGGGACGACCGGUCCGCCGUUCCGGUGUGCACUGGUCGUCCCUUCCUUCUUGCCGGGGACGCGCUCCUGGCAUUAAUUUGUCGGGACGUGGAUUCGGCGAUGUUACUUUGAAAAAUUAGAGUGUUCAAAGCAAGCCAUCGCUCUGAAUACAUUAGCAUGGAAUAACACUAUAGGACUCUGGUCUUAUUUUGUUGGUUUUCGAGACUGGAGUAAUGAUUAAUAGGGACAGUCGGGGGCAUCCGUAUUUCAUUGUCAGAGGUGAAAUUCUUGGAUUUAUGAAAGACGAACUUCUGCGAAAGCAUUUGCCAAGGAUGUUUUCA